CGCAAUCAGAGCGAAAAGUCUUCGAAGACUGUCAAUAAGUGGUUUUUGCUCCACUCAUCAAGUGUGAAAUUACAAAGUGCAACAUCAAGGCUUUUCUCGUUUGAAGUUCGCCAUGGCUACAUGCUGAAUGCCACUUCUUUUCAAAGUGCACGCGUUGAUGAUAUGAUCGAAUGUGCCUGGAAGUGUCUUGAAGUGUCGUUUUGUUUCUUCUUCAACUAUCAAACAUCAGGGUCGGGUUUGUGUCAGGUUUUCAAAGGCUUCGAUCAGAUUGGAGGAAAUCAGUUGGAUGAAUUAGUGCGACCGACACUUUCAGAUGGAUUUGUGUACUGACAAGUAUCACAGGGCCCAAUUAAUUCAUGUCUAGACUACCUAAGGUUGAGCCCAGAUAUACAAAAUGGGAUUUAUGAAAUACAAGACAAAACAACCUUCCAAAGAUACGAUGUCUUCUGCGACUUUACAUCUGAACCUGGUUCAGCAUGGACACUAGUAUUUUCAAAGAAACGCGACGAAAUAGAAAGGAAGGAGCGAACAUAUCAAGAAAACAAUCCUUUGAACGAACUGAAGCCGAACUUCAAUGCCUUUCGACUAUCGCGCGCCAAAAUGGUAUCACUAAGACAGGUAUCGACCCAUUGGCGUAUCACGUGUGAAUUUCAAGACGCCUUCAACCAAACAGAUUAUGUGAGAGCAAAGUUUUCCGACACGGAUAUGAUCGACUAUAAAGGACAAGGGAUUUGUAAGAAGAUCGAAUACAUUAAGAUUCGAGGUCAAGGAUGUACUGACUGUACGGCGCCAUGGUGGCAAGGACCAAACCUGUACGUUUUGCACACGGAUAGUGAUCAAAAGCAUUCAUCAUGCAGUUUAAGGAUAUCUGGUUCAGUACCGGACGAAGAUAACUUUGGAAAUUAUUACACUAUGAAUACAGCUCACCGUUGUUCAAGAUCCUCAUCAGCCACAACCAACUCCUGGAUGGGCGGGUACGCAUAGAUGUCCGCCGAUAUUUGCGCAUACUCUAGAAAACGCAUUGAAAAGCACUAAAACUUGGAUAGAGUGACAAUUAUCCACGUAAUUAACUUCCAUGCUAUUUUCAUCAUUCUCCCUGUAUACAAUGUUGCACGAACAGGGAAAGAGAUGAGUUAGGGGAUUGGGGUCAAACAGUGAUGAGCUCUUGUACUGCACCAAUUUAAUAGUUUUUAACUAUUUUGUCUAAGAUAGAUAUGCACUACUGAGAACAAAGAUACUUUUGAUUUUUGUCUGGAACAUUCUAACAACAACCUUUGCUUUUUUGCAAAUAAUCUUUGUUGGAAAUUUGCGUUAAGGUUGUUUUCGUACGAGACAAAAGCACGCAGUUCUUGGAUAGACGUAGGGAUAUAAGAAGCGAAUAUGUACACCCUUUUCAUAAGUUCUGAGGUAUUGUGUUCUCCGUACUUGACGUCAAAUUCAUUUUUUUGAAUUCUCUUUGUAUUGUAAAAAUUUCAAAAGAAUAAAUUUGACGUCAAGUGCGCAGAACACAAUACCUCGGGACUUAUUAAAAGUAUGUAUAUGUGUACGUAUUUAUCGAAGUGUAAAAAAUGGCAAUAUUCCUGUUGUCCCAAAGUGAAACUUAUUAAAGUGUAUAGUUCACGGGUAUAAUUCACUAUCAAAACAGCUCCCUGUUGUUCAUAAGUCAAUUCAACAACAACACUUACUCCUGGGAGGGUGGGUACCUAUUCAUUGUCGGCCAUGUUUUGUCAAACAUGAACUCUAAAGGAAAUUAAAAGCCCACCAAACUGAAACUAAAGAUAUUACUUGAUAGGUAAGUUUACAGCAUUGUAAAGAAAGGUCGGAUCAAUCGUAUUCACUGAAGGGGUGUCACGCAGGGGGAACUUUGGCAUUUAUUCACAAUGAUCACGAUGCUUUAGAUCUUUAUGGAAUGAAAGGAAUUUUGGAUUAAUUAUAGUAAUCAUUUAACCUCGGAUAUAAUAGU